GAGGAAUAUUGGUCAAUGGGCGAGAGCCUGAACCAGCCAAGUAGCGUGAAGGAUGACUGCCCUAUGGGUUGUAAACUUCUUUUAUAAAGGAAUAAAGUCGGGUAUGCAUACCCGUUUGCAUGUACUUUAUGAAUAAGGAUCGGCUAACUCCGUGCCAGCAGCCGCGGUAAUACGGAGGAUCCGAGCGUUAUCCGGAUUUAUUGGGUUUAAAGGGAGCGUAGAUGGAUGUUUAAGUCAGUUGUGAAAGUUUGCGGCUCAACCGUAAAAUUGCAGUUGAUACUGGAUAUCUUGAGUGCAGUUGAGGCAGGCGGAAUUCGUGGUGUAGCGGUGAAAUGCUUAGAUAUCACGAAGAACUCCGAUUGCGAAGGCAGCCUGCUAAGCUGCAACUGACAUUGAGGCUCGAAAGUGUGGGUAUCAAACAGGAUUAGAUACCCUGGUAGUCCACACGGUAAACGAUGAAUACUCGCUGUUUGCGAUAUACGGCAAGCGGCCAAGCGAAAGCGUUAAGUAUUCCACCUGGGGAGUACGCCGGCAACGGUGAAACUCAAAGGAAUUGACGGGGGCCCGCACAAGCGGAGGAACAUGUGGUUUAAUUCGAUGAUACGCGAGGAACCUUACCCGGGCUUAAAUUGCAGAUGAAUUACGGUGAAAGCCGUAAGCCGCAAGGCAUCUGUGAAGGUGCUGCAUGGUUGUCGUCAGCUCGUGCCGUGAGGUGUCGGCUUAAGUGCCAUAACGAGCGCAACCCUUGUUGUCAGUUACUAACAGGUUCCGCUGAGGACUCUGACAAGACUGCCAUCGUAAGAUGUGAGGAAGGUGGGGAUGACGUCAAAUCAGCACGGCCCUUACGUCCGGGGCUACACACGUGUUACAAUGGGGAGUACAGAGGGCCGCUACCACGCGAGUGGAUGCCAAUCCCCAAAACCUCUCUCAGUUCGGACUGGAGUCUGCAACCCGACUCCACGAAGCUGGAUUCGCUAGUAAUCGCGCAUCAGCCACGGCGCGGUGAAUACGUUCCCG
rnacentral:rRNA from 1 species